rnacentral:rRNA from 1 species
UACAGGGGGGCAAGCGUUGUUCGGAAUUACUGGGCGUAAAGGGUCUGUAGGUGGCCAACUAAGUCAGACGUGAAAUCCCUCAGCUUAACUGGGAACUGCGUCUGAUACUGGAUGGCUUGAGUGUGGGAGAGGAAUGCGGAAUUCCAGGUGUAGCGGUGAAAUGCGUAGAUAUCUGGAGGAACACCGGUGGCGAAGGCGGCAUUCUGGGCCGAUACUGACGCUGAGGAGCGAAAGCGUGGGGAGCAAACAGGG